AAUAUUUUUAAGUAUAAGUAUAUCCCAGGCAAUCCUUGGGAUAUACUUAUACUAAAAAUUAGUCAUUCCCCCCCCCCCUUGAAAUUCAGAUUUAAUUAGGUGUCCUGUAUU
rnacentral:miRNA from 14 species